AAUGUGUUAAGCAUGGGCAGAAAAGAUGAACUGCGCAGAAAAAGCUACUCUAGGACUGCAUUUCAAUAUUGCCCUCUUUCAGUGGAACUUUAACCCUAGAUUAGGCUUAGGGGUGUGAACAAGGGUAGGUUUAGGGUUGAAAAAAAAUGAGGUGUUCUGG